rnacentral:rRNA from 1 species
CUGAUGGCGCAGCUGAUGCAGCCAUGCCGCGUGUGUGAAGAAGGCCUUCGGGUUGUAAGCACUUUCAGCGAGGAGGAAGGUGGUGAGCUUAAUACGCUCAUCAAUUGACGUUACUCGCAGAAGAAGCACCGGCUAACUCCGUGCCAGCAGCCGCGGUAAUA